UGCCAGCCAACAGCUGGGUCCUGCACUUGAUGACCACCAACACGUGGGCUCAGGACUCAGCAGCGGUCACAAGACUUGAAAUAAUUCCUGGAGACGUGUUAGAUCCUGAAAGCUGAGAUAGUCUGGACUGAGCAAGCUGCAAGAGCCACCUUCACUCUCAGUUCAAGAACACUUCAGUGUUUCACAAGGAGCCAGUUACACCAAAACACUCCAAUUUCACAUCCUGGAUACAUGCAUGAGUUCUGCUUCAGCACCCUGCCCUGCACUGUUUCAUUGUCCUGACUUGAAAUGAACUGAAUAGAAGUUGCAACAUCUCAGCAAAUUCCACAUGAAGAUAUUCCUGGCAAAGGCUGAAAAAAAGAAAGAAAAAAGGAAGAAAGAAUUAUUGUAAUGGGCUCUGAGGGAGGGUUUUACCAAUUUGGCUGUCGGCUGGGAGUAGGAGUCAGCGGGAGGUGUCCGUCUUGACAGGGACUGUGGCACCUCAACGAGAGAAAAAGAAGAAACCUCCCGGGAGAGAAACCUUACUGAACCACAGAGGCUUUCAGAUCUCGGAGCAUCCUCUAUUGUUUUUACAGCUCCUCUGUGACUAAACGCUAUUUUCCAAUUACUAUACUUUAUUUUUUUUCAGUUGGGCUCCUCAUCCUUUCUUUGAAGCAACG
ensembl:lncRNA